GCUUGUCUCAAAGAUUAAGCCAUGCAUGUCUAAGUAUAAACUGCUUUAUACUGUGAAACUGCGAAUGGCUCAUUAAAUCAGUUAUAGUUUAUUUGAUGGUACUUACUUACUCGGAUAACCGUAGUAAUUCUAGAGCUAAUACAUGCGCAAAUACCCAACUGCUUGUCGGACGGGUAGCAUUUAUUAGAUUGAAACCAAUGCAGUCUUCGGGCUGGUAUUGUGUUGAGUCAUAAUAACUGUGCGGAUCGCGUUUUACGCGAUAAAUCGAUUGAGUUUCUGCCCUAUCAGCUUUGGAUGGUAGGAUAUGGGCCUACCAUGGCAUUAACGGGUAACGGGGAAUUAGGGUUUGAUUCCGGAGAGGGAGCCUUAGAAACGGCUACCACAUCCAAGGAAGGCAGCAGG
rnacentral:rRNA from 1 species